GGGGAAAUGGCUCAGUGGUUUAGAGCAUUUGUUGUUCUUGAAGAGGACCUGGGUUCAAUUCCCAAUACCCACA
rnacentral:tRNA from 1 species